rnacentral:rRNA from 1 species
UUGGAGGGCAAGUCUGGUGCCAGCAGCCGCGGUAGUUCCAGCUCCAAUAGCGUAUAUUAAAGUUGUUGCAGUUAAAAAGCUCGUAGUUGAAUUUCGGGAUUGACGUGAUGGUCAUGCCUUAAGGGGUAUGAACUGUCACAGUUGAUUUCUCACCUUCUGGAGAAACUUGAUGUCCUUUAUUGGGUGUCUUGCGGAUCCAGGACCUUUACCUUGAAAAAAUUAGAGUGUUUAAAGCAGGCAUUUUUGCUCGAAUACAUUAGCAUGGAAUAAUAGAAUAGGACGGCAUGGUUCUAUUUUGUUGGUUUCUAGGAUCACCGUAAUGAUUAAUAGGGAUAGUUGGGGGCAUUAGUAUUCAAUUGUCAGAGGUGAAAUUCUUGGAUUUAUUGAAGACUUACUACUGCGAAAGCAUUUGCCAAGGAUGUUUUCAUUAAUCAAGAACGAAAGUUAGGGGAUCAAAGACGAUCAGGUACCGUCGUAGUCUUAACCAUGAACUAUGCCGACUAGGAAUCAGACGAUGUUAAUUUUUUAAUGACUCGUUUGGCACCUUACGGGAAACCAAAGUGUUUGGGUUC